UUGAGUUGGCUGAGUAAAGUCUUUCGUUUUUCAUUGGUUCUCUAAUUUCAUUGGUCUUUCUUAUUUUCAUUAUCCAAUAAAUUUAAUUCUCUAUUUGAUAUAAGUAACCGUUCAAACUAAGUAAAAUUAGGCAGUAUUUCAUUUUCAACAUCGUCAGUCAAUCCAGCGUGUAUCUGCUGCAUCUUGUGGUCAAUGCUUUAUUUAUCUACUUAAUAAAUCGACUGAAAUCAC